GAUGAACGCUGGCGGCGUGCUUAACACAUGCAAGUCGAACGGAAAGGCCCAAGCUUGCUUGGGUACUCGAGUGGCGAACGGGUGAGUAACACGUGGGUGAUCUGCCCUGCACUUCGGGAUAAGCCUGGGAAACUGGGUCUAAUACCGGAUAGGACCACAUUUUGGAUGGUGUGGUGGAAAGUUUUUCGGUGUGGGAUGAGCUCGCGGCCUAUCAGCUUGUUGGUGGGGUAAUGGCCUACCAAGGCGUCGACGGGUAGCCGGCCUGAGAGGGUGUACGGCCACAUUGGGACUGAGAUACGGCCCAGACUCCUACGGGAGGCAGAAGUGGGGAAUAUUGCACAAUGGGCGCAAGCCUGAUGCAGCGACGCCGCGUGGGGGAUGACGGCCUUCGGGUUGUAAACUCCUUUCGCUAGGGACGAAGCGCAAGUGACGGUACCUGGAGAAGAAGCACCGGCUAACUACGUG
rnacentral:rRNA from 1 species